CUGGGGAAAUAUUUAUUACUUUGAGACUGAUUUCAGAUCGUAAUUAGUAGCAAUCAGCAAGUCAGACUAUUUUAAAGGCAUGUUUUACUUUUACGGAAUAAUUUUUCUUGCAACUGAAUUUCACAACCCCCGGUAAUUUUUUUCCUCGAAUUUUUUUUGGUGUUCCGUAUUCCGGAAUGAUGCUGUUCCGGUGUUCCGUGUUCCUGAUUUUACUAAUAGCCCGGCCACUUUGCCCAUUUGAUUUCGUCUGUUUCGAGGCCCUACAGUG